rnacentral:rRNA from 1 species
AUUCCAGCUCCAAUAGCGUAUACUAAAGUUGUUGCAGUUAAAAAGCUCGUAGUUGAAUUUCUGGUCUUGGACAGCGGUCUGCCUCAAAAGAGGUACGUACCAUCUAUCCGAGUCCAUCCUCGGGGAAAACAUGUGUGUGAUUCAGUUCAUGUGCAUGGGAUCCUCGUCAUUUACUGUGAGCAAAAUAGAGUGUUCAAAGCAGGCUUAUGCCGUUGAAUAUUUUAGCAUGGAAUAAUAAGAUAAGACCUUGGUCUAUUUUGUUGGUUUGUACUCCAAGGUAAUGAUUAAUAGGGACAGUUGGGGGUAUUCGUAUUCAAUUGUCAGAGGUGAAAUUCUUGGAUUUAUUGAAGACGAACUACUGCGAAAGCAUUUACCAAGGAUGUUUUCAUUG